rnacentral:lncRNA from 1 species
AUUCUGUUUUUUACCGUUCGCCUCGCGAACACAGUUCGCCCCGCGAACUGAAUUCACAGCUUCAGUUCGCGCCGCGAACGAAGUUCGCCCCGCGAACAGUGAAUGGCAGAACUAAUUUUUUUUGAAAUUUCCUUCAGUUCGCCCCGCGAACUGAAAAAAAAAAAAAACUUUGUUUUAUGUCAUUUUCGUUUCAUUCCUAUUUUCACAAACUUAGGAGAUUCUUUCAACAAUCUCGUUGCUCCACUUCCAAACCUCUACAUUUCAAAAUUUCUCCUCUCCAUUCCCUUCCUAAGAGGAUUUUGUUGAUUAUGCUAAGUGGCUUGAGGGCAAGCCAAUUUUUU